rnacentral:rRNA from 1 species
CCCUUAGAUGUUCUGGGCCGCACACGCGCUACACUGAAGGAGGCAGCGUGUACUCCUGGAUCGAAAGAUUUGGGUAACCCGCGAAUCUCCUUCGUGCUAGGGAUUGAGGUUUGCAAUUAUCCUUCAUGAACGAGGAAUUCCCAGUAAGUGCAAGUCAUAAGCUUGCGCUGACUACGUCCCUGCCCUUUGUACACACCGCCCGUCGCUACUACCGAUUGAAUGAUUUAGUGAGGACUUCGGACUGGGACCGAUGCGGCUUUCGGGCUGCGUCGGUAUUCUGGAAAGAUGUCCAAACUGUAUCGUUUAGAGGAAGUAAAAGUCGUAACA